GAUGAAGAACGUAGCGAAAUGCGAUAAGUAAUGUGAAUUGCAGAAUUCAGUGAAUCAUCGAAUCUUUGAACGCACAUUGCGCCCGCCAGUAUUCUGGCGGGUAUGCCUGUUCGAGCGUCAUUACAACCCUCAGGCCCCCGGGCCUGGCGUUGGGGAUCGGCGGAAGCCCCCUGCGGGCACAACGCCGUCCCCCAAAUACAGUGGCGGUCCCGCCGCAGCUUCCAUUGCGUAGUAGCUAACACCUCGCAACUGGAGAGCGGCGCGGCCACGCCGUAAAACACCCAACUUCUGAAUGUUGACCUCGAAUCAGGUAGGAAUACCCGCUGAACUUAAGCAUAUCAAUAAGCGGAGGA
rnacentral:misc_RNA from 1 species